CACCUAGGGAGGCAGCAGUGGGGAAUAUUGCGCAAUGGGCGAAAGCCUGACGCAGCGACGCCGCGUGAGGGAUGAAGGUCUUCGGAUCGUAAACCUCUGUCAGCAGGGAAGAACGGUCACUGUGCUAAUCAGCAGUGAAUUGACGGUACCUGCAAAGGAAGCACCGGCUAACUCCGUGCCAGCAGCCGCGGUAAUACGGAGGGUGCGAGCGUUAAUCGGAAUUACUGGGCGUAAAGCGCUCGUAGGCGGUAUGUCAAGUCAAGGGUGAAAUCCCCGCGCUCAAAACUGCAGCUCUUGAGUGAAGG
rnacentral:rRNA from 1 species